GAUGAACGCUGGCGGCGUGCCUAAUACAUGCAAGUCGAGCGAACAGACGAGGAGCUUGCUCCUCUGACGUUAGCGGCGGACGGGUGAGUAACACGUGGAUAACCUACCUAUAAGACUGGGAUAACUUCGGGAAACCGGAGCUAGUACCGGAUAAUAUAUUGAACCGCAUGGUUCAAUAGUGAAAGACGGUUUUGCUGUCACUUAUAGAUGGAUCCGCGCCGCAUUAGCUAGUUGGUAAGGUAACGGCUUACCAAGGCAACGAUGCGUAGCCGACCUGAGAGGGUGAUCGGCCACACUGGAACUGAGACACGGUCCAGACUCCUACGGGAGGCAGCAGUAGGGAAUCUUCCGCAAUGGGCGAAAGCCUGACGGAGCAACGCCGCGUGAGUGAUGAAGGUCUUCGGAUCGUAAAACUCUGUUAUUAGGGAAGAACAAAUGUGUAAGUAACUAUGCACGUCUUGACGGUACCGAAUCAGAAAGCCACGGCUAACUACGUG
rnacentral:rRNA from 1 species